GAUGAACGCUGGCGGCGUGCCUAACACAUGCAAGUCGAGCGAUGAAACCGCCUCCGGGCGGACAUGAAGCGGCGAACGGGUGAGUAACACGUGACCGGCCUGCCCCCCGCCCAGGGACAGCCCCCCGAAAGGGGGAUUAAUACCUGGUACUCCGGAAGCGGCGCAUGCCGCGUCCGGGAAAGCUUUCGCGGCGGGGGAUGGGGUCGCGGCCCAUCAGGUAGACGGCGGGGCAGAGGGCCACCGUGCCGACGACGGGUAGCCGGGUUGAGAGACCGACCGGCCACAUUGGGACUGAGAUACGGCCCAGACUCCUACGGGAGGCAGCAGUGGGGAAUUUUGCGCAAUGGGGGCAACCCUGACGCAGCAACGCCGCGUGCGGGACGAAGGCGUCCGCGUCGUAAACCGCUUUCAGCGGGGAACACUUCAACGAGGGUACCCGCAGAAGAAGCCCCGGCUAAAUACGUGCCAGCCGCCGCCGUAA
rnacentral:rRNA from 1 species